AUGGCAGGGUUCUUCGGCACCUGUGCUGCUUCUGAUCACUAUUGUUUGCAGCUCAGAUCUGGAUCAGCUCACCAUGAACUGAUUAGACCAAACAAGUACAGAAGGACCAUGAUCAGGUGCUGCAGCACAGCGAAGGGGAAGACAAGAAGGGACUACUUCCAGGUUCUUGGAGUAGCAACUCAUUCCACACCUCAGGAGAUCAAGGAAGCUUACAGGAAACUCCAGAAGCAACACCAUCCUGAUAUUGCUGGCGACAAGGGCCAUGACCACGCGCUAUUGCUGAAUGAGGCGUAUGAGGUGUUGAUGAGGAGUUCAUCCAGGAAAGCUGAUGGAUUUGGCAAGAGCAGAGGCGGCUUUGGGAGCGGUUACACCGGGGACGGAUACAGUUCUUGGAAUGGGCCUAUCAGGAGCCAGGCUCUCUUCGUGGAUGAGAACAAAUGCAUAGGAUGUAGGGAGUGUGUUCACCAUGCUGGGGAGACGUUUGCCAUGGACGAUGUUCUUGGAAGUGCGCACGUCGAAGUCCAGUUUGGCGACGUGGAGCAGCAGAUCCAGGUGGCUGUGGAGUCUUGCCCUGUGAACUGCAUCCACUGGGUUGGGAGUGAAGAGCUCCCGGUGCUGGAGUUCAUGGCGCGGCCACAGCGCAAGGAAGGGCACGGCGUAUUCGGCGGCGGGUGGGAGAGGCCCAAGGACGUGUUCGCGGCGGCCAGGAACUUCGCCAAGAAACUCGAGAGGCAGGAGCAGCAGGAAAGUUCCAGGGGCGCAAACGGGGGUGAAGAUGUGGAGGCUGAAACGGCAGCGCAGGCCGAAGCGAGACGCCACGCGGGGCAGGAGCUACGGUGGAAGAGUUUGUUCGAUGUUUGGAAUGGGUUGGGAGACUGGAGGAAAUCCGGAACAGACAGGUAG
rnacentral:rRNA from 1 species